GCCGGGUGUGUGGCGCAUGCCUGUAGUCCUAGCUACUCAGGAGGCUGAGGUGGGAGGAUCACUUGAGUCCAGGAGUUCUGGGCUGCAGUGCACUACGCUGAUCGGGUGUUCACACUAAGUUCGGCAUCAAUAUGGUGACCUCCCAGGAGCGGAUACCACCAGGUUGCCUAAGGAGGGGUGAACCAGGCCAGGUCAGAAACAGAACAGGUCAAAACUCCCAUGCUGACUGAUAUGCAGUUCAGGCUGGCCUGGAGCUCACUUUGUAGCCCAGGCUGGUCUUGAACUCACAACGAUCCUCCUGCCUCA
rnacentral:SRP_RNA from 1 species